GGAUUAGAUACCCUGGUAGUCCACGCCGUAAACGAUGAGUGCUAGUUGUCGGGGGUCUUAGACUUUCGGUGACGCAGCUAACGCAUUAAGCACUCCGCCUGGGGAGUACGGUCGCAAGAUUAAAACUCAAAGGAAUUGACGGGGGCCUGCACAAGCGGUGGAGCAUGUGGUUUAAUUCGAAGCAACGCGCAGAACCUUACCAGCCCUUGACAUCCUGGUCGCGAGGAGUGGAGACACACCUCUUCGGUUCGGCUGGACCAGUGACAGGUGCUGCAUGGCUGUCGUCAGCUCGUGCCG
rnacentral:rRNA from 1 species